rnacentral:rRNA from 1 species
GACGAACGCUGGCGGCGUGCCUAAUACAUGCAAGUAGAACGCUGAAGGAGGAGCUUGCUCUUCUGGAUGAGUUGCGAACGGGUGAGUAACGCGUAGGUAACCUGCCUGGUAGCGUGGGAUAACUAUUGGAAACGAUAGCUAAUACCGCAUAACAGUAGAUGUUGCAUGACAUUUGCUUAAAAGGUGCAAUUGCAUCACUACCAGAUGGACCUGCGUUGCAUUAGCUAGUUGGUGGGGUAACGGCUCACCAAGGCGACGAUACAUAGCCGAACUGAGAGGGUGAUCGGCCAGACUGGGACUGAGACACGGCCCAGACUCCUACGGGAGGCAGCAGUAGGGCAUCUGCGGCAAUGGACGGAAGUCUGACCGAGAAACGCCGCGUGAGUGAAGAAGGGUUUCGGAUCGUAAAGCUCGGUUGUAAGAGAAGAACGAGUGUGAGAGUGGAAAGUUCACUCUGUGACGGUAUCUUACCAGAAAGGGACGGCUAACUACGUG